UAAAAAAAAAAUCAACACCAAAUUUGCAAAUUAACAUAAAAAUGUAUGUCAUUCUUACAAAGUAUCAAAUGCUCUACUACGGCACUACAUGAUAAUAUCAAACUUAAAGUUGUCCAACACAAAAAAAAUACAUAUAAUUGAUUUAACGAAAAUACAUAACAGAAAAUAACUAAAACUAAACUUUACUAGAUAUCAAAGAUUCUUUGAUAGUGGCUGCUUGAGAUCCUAAUCCAAAUAUGUUUCCCUUCUUGUUAAUGCCUCCAACCACUUCAUGUAUAUACCUAUCAUCAUCAGAUUGUUGGCUAUGUUGUCUGCUAUCCUCACCUCUUUGAGAGUUUCUCUCAAACAAUUUAAUUUAUGCAGAUCCAUCUCCUCUCAUCAUGUAGAGAAGCAACUCUUAGCUCUUCCUCUAGCUCUACCAAAGUUUAUGCAACUCUCUGAAACCAAUUCAAAAUCAAAUAUUAGCAAUUAGCAUAAUAUGUGCAUGAAUUAACUACAAUGUUGUCAAAUUAUAUAAGUGUAGUAACUAACUAACAUUAUGUGAAUUAAAAAUAUAGAAUUUGAAAGAAGCUGACAAGUUUUAAUGGCAUAACUUUUAAGUUGGUCUGGAACAAAUUUUCCUUCUUGUAUCCUUCACUUGGUCAUGGAACUCUUUGGGAAGUCUAGAGUAUAAAUUUGAAAAAGUGUUUAGGUUUAUUAAAAUAAUAUAAUCAAAUGAUAGGAUACUUACCAAAUGACAUGAUGUGGAGGUUAGAAUCAAAUCAUUGUCUACUAUCGAUCAAUUAGAUGUUAGGUGCUUGUGGUAUAAAACCAGUUUUGGGAUACCAAUUAUUGAUCAGAAAGAAGCACAGAUAAUUAAAUAUUGGAACAUGACAAUAUUCAAUAUAUAGUUUUCUACAUUUGCAAUAUUGGCAUGCUGAAUUUAUUAGAUGUUGGAUAUCAGUUCAAGAAAUUGUGCAUCACUCUAGUCCUUGAAAACUAUAACAUUCAGUUUCUUCACUGCAAACAGAUACAAGGAUCAUUCCAAAGAUUUUAAGCAUGUGAAGCACCAAUAAAAAAAAACCAUUAUCUUGAGAAUGAGAGAGAUAAACGACACUUACAAGGUAAAACUAAAACUAAAAUUGAUUUCAGACUUCAUAGAAAUGAGCAAACAAAAACACACAAAUUUGACGCUCACAUUUUCCACAAAGUUAAAGUUGUCAUAGACACAAACAAACAAAUUCCACUAGUCUUACAUGUACAAGGUUCACCAGAAGCAGAGUUAUUGGCCAUACCUGCUCUGUUGCUUCACUCUUCCACAUACUCACUUUGCAUAAAUCCUUCAAAUAAUCUGUCAAAAGAGGAACAUCAUUUACAAUAGGAAAAAGAAAAACAGAACCAAUAAUUAAAGAAAAGAUAAAAAGGGAUAUCUACACAUGCAGCUUCAAAACAAAACUUAGAAACAAUAAGCAUAAUAGUUUAUUUAUGGAAGUCACAAUAGUAAAAACCCAACAUGAUAUAUAUCAGUGCUAAAGGAUACAUGUCAUAUACUAGCAUAUAUUAGCAUUCAAAUUGAUAACAAUCCUAAAUGAAAAUUAAUCUAAUCAGAUCCCUUCAUUCAUAGUUCAAUCUUAUUAAUUCCAAUACAUAUAAUAACUAGACAGCCUAAUGCAACUUCGGUAUGAAAUCAGUUAAAGUUAACAAAGGUAUGUUGUAUCAAAUAAUACUAAAAAAGACAACAGAGACAAUCAUUAUAGUGUUUAUUUAUGUUUGUCAGUUAUGAACAGUGGAGGUGGCUUUAUCUAAUUUAUAGUGCAGAGAACUCUGGAACAUUAGAUCAGGUUCAAACUCAUAGUCAAUAAUAUGUAGGUCACUUUGUUGGUGAUAAGGUGGCAUUGAGUUCCUUUACCAGAAGCAGGAGGAAUGGAAAUCAUAACAUGCAGUGGAUCUUCCGUCUACGCCAUUUCCAGAUUUGGCAAGUCCAUAUUGUUGUCUCAAGCUCCCUAAAUUGUCUAGAGCUCUUUCAAACAAGCAGNNNNNNNNNNNNNNNNNNNNNNNNNNNNNNNNNNNNNUCAAACAUUAAUUUAGACAAACAAGGUAGAUACAUGAUAAUAAAAUCAAUAACAAAAUUAGAAUCAUUGCAAUCUAGUACUGGUCUAGCUAAC
rnacentral:lncRNA from 1 species